rnacentral:misc_RNA from 1 species
AGGUUUCACUCUCACAGUCACAGUUUUGGGUGUAUAUUUUCUCUAACUCAUAGGUGCAUGUAUGCACGUGUGUUUUUGCAUGGAACAUGUUAUGCUAUUGGCAUGAUACAUCCAGUUCCCCCAGUGCUUAUGCCUGGCUGUGACAAAAUUAUUUUAAGUUAUUUUUUUUGUGGGCUUUGAAUUAAACUCAUGAGCCAUACU